ensembl:lncRNA
GAGCCACCGUGCCCGGCCGAGCCUGCAGCUUUAAUGCCCUAUUUUCUGGAAGUCAAAACUGUAUCACUGAGGUGUUUCUCUUUUUCAUUACAGGAGUCGUUUCUAUUUUAUUUAUAUUUUGCAGUGAAACGAUUUAAAUCAAAUGUGCUUGGGUGCAGAGGAAAUCUGAUCUGAAAGAGUUUUUGUGGCAGAAAGAGAGCCAGCAGAUACUUACUUCCUGCCUUGCAGAGGCCAGUAACAUCCUGGUACAAGGGGAUUCAUCAAUACAUCUUUCAUAAGAGGGCUUCUCUGCACAGUGAGGUGGAAAAUCUUUCCAAUGACUCUGGCCCAUUUCUAACUUUGCCCCUGAAUAAAAGAAGGGAUUGAUUGGGGCUUGGAAUGCUUCCAUACCCAGGGGCCUUCCUGCACCCCAGGAGGCAGAGUCUAUAAACGGAAUUCAAUUGGGCAAUUGCUCGUGGAGAGAAAACCCAGCAGGGGUGAGCACGGCCUCUAAGGAGAGGACAGUGAAGGGUUAAAGGUGCACCGCCUUCCUCCGCUGGGGUCUGCAGAGGGACUGAUAUCUGGAAGUCUCUAAAAUAAAGAGGCUCAAAAAUAGUCAAAGAGACUUGCCAUUGGGUAUUCCAGGGACUGCAGAUCCAUCCCCCACUCUCCAUGAACUACGAUGUAUGUUGGCGGCGGGAUAUACCCUCAGUGCGUCCAUCAGUCAAUCAGCUGGUAUUUCUCAAGAUCUAUAACGAGCCAAAGCCGAGUGAGAGAGCUUGAAGACUUCGUAACACAGCAAAGGGGCAUGGGGAAUUGAAGAGUACAUCCAGUUCCUGUAGACACAUCCCACAACCCCAACCUCCCAAGAUGGUGCCAGUAAGCUUUCUGUUGGCUGGGAGACCAGGAGACCUGAGCUCCACCCUGGACCCUGCCACUUAAGUUAGCAGCUCUUUGAGUCUCAAAAGCAUGCCCAAGUUGACUAAGCCUGCUUUAAAAGUUACUUGGAGAAGUGCUGAGAUGACUAAAUAAAGACAGAGUCCAACACCAGGCACAGGACACGCCCUGAAUGAAGAGAUUACUUCCCUUCUCUUCCGAACUUUUCUUCUCCUCACCCACCUCCCUGUAAGGUGAAGAUACAGCUCUGUCUACACAGAACAGUCACUUCUCUCUUCCUUUCUCUAGGGUGGUUUGGGUUCAAAGAUGGAAGCUGUAUUUGCACCCUUGCAAGCUGGUUUGGUCCACACUUGCUUUCCUACCCAAAGACCACCACAAUCCCUAGCUACUUUAGAACUUCCUCAGCACGUGAACUUGAACAACACCCUACUCUUCUCCAAGACCCGGUUUCGGGGUAAAUGGGAUUAGUAAACCUAAUUUAAGUCAGAGUUGCUAUGAGGAUUAGAAAUCAACAGGCUUCCCAGAACCUGACACAUGGUAGAUGCCCAAUAAAUGAAAUUUAUUAUUUUCUGCAGGGAAAAUAACAUCUAUCUCCUCUAAUUGUCACGAGGAUUAGAAGUAAAAUACAAAGAGCAUUUAGCACUGUGUCUGGCGCAAAAUAGCGGAUACUAUAUACAUCUUGAUUGAUGGAGACAAAAGACCAAAAGAUGAACAUAAACAUGAGCAAAAGCAAAAAAAAAAAAAAAAA